rnacentral:rRNA from 1 species
UACGUAGGAGGCGAGCGUUGUCCGGAGUUACUGGGCGUAAAGGGUGCGCAGGCGGUGGCUCGCGUGGGCGGUGAAAGCUCCUGGCUCAACUGGGAGAGGGCCGUCCAGACGGGGUCACUUGAGAGGCGGAGAGGGGCGUGGAAUUCCGGGUGGAGCGGUGAAAUGCGUAGAGAUCCGGAGGAACACCGACGGCGCAGGCAGCGCCCUGGGUGUGAUAGCUGACACUGAGGCACGAAAGCGUGGGGAGCAAACAGG